AGAGCCAGCCCAACCUCGACGGAGGGUGGGAGGACUAGAGAUUGCGUUCAAUUCGGUGGCAAAUGAGUCAACCAAUUGUGCCUAUGUAAUGAAAACUCUGGACGCCAAAAUUUGGUGGAGCUUCCUGGUUGGUGAACACAUCCAUGUGCCAGGAGGGUGACACAACCUGAUUCACAGAGAGAAGACACAGAAGCUCUGCAUGGAAGACCCGCCCAGACCCCGCCCUACGUGUGUCUUCAUUAGUCUGGUCCUCCUGAUUUGUAUCCUUUGUAACAAGCCUGUAAUCAACUUUCUCAGUUGUGUGUGUGAGUACGCCUGGCUUUUCAUCAAAGAGCUUUGCCGUCUUGAUGCUUCCUUUUCUGUGAACACAGCAAUAAAUAGAUUCUGCAGAACAAAUGACCAGGAGAAAGGACUUUGUGCUCCUUCACCUCAGAAACCUGAACUCAGAAUUUCCUUGUAGACACUUUUCAGGCCUUUGUUUGCUGGAGACUGGAGUUCCCUGAGAGGAUUAAGGGUGUGGUGGGGAGUGUCUAAAGGAGCCCAGUGCCUUGAGGGCAGCCAAGAAGACAGAGGCCCUGGACUGGAUACCGGCUGAGAAAUUAGCCAGGCACAGUGGCAGGUGCCUGUAAUCCCAGCUACUCGGGCGGCUGAGGCAGGAGAAUCGCUUGAACCUGGGAGGCAGAGGUUGCAGUGAGCCAAGAUCAUAUCACUGUGCUCCAGCUUGGGCAACAAGACAGAAACUCCAUCUCAAAAAAAAAAAAAAGAAAAGAAAUCAUGGACUCCAAAAGGCCUGAAGUGGAGAGUCCUGAAGCCAUCUCAGACCAUGAGGCCACCCUAAGGGUAGAAGGAAGCACACUAAGAUGACAGGAACAGAAGACAGGAGCCUGGGUCCAUCAUGCCAGGGAGCCUCCACACCUGCCCUGGACGUUUCAUCUCAGACCUCGUGGAUAAAGCAGAGAAAUAAAUAUCUACCUUGUUUAAGCCACUUAUUUUCAAUUUUUUGUUUCAAGCAGGCUUUUCAUGAAGUUCCCAGUCUGACAGCAUUAAUUGGUGGGCUAGAAUUUGUGGACGGUUUCCAUGUAUGUAUUCUGCAAAACCAUCCAUAAGAAAGAGUUGAACAAGUCUUGGGACUAGCUAGAGAAGUGGGCAAAAAAAGAGAGGAAGUGGCCGAGUGCGGUGGCUCACGCCUGUAAUCCCAGCACUUUGGGAUGCUCAGGCAGGCAGAUCACGAGAUCAAGAGAUUGAGACCAUCCUGGCCAACAUGGUGAAACCCCGUCUCUACUGAAAAUACAAAAAUUAGCUGGGCGUGAUGCCAUGCGCCUGUAGUCCGAGCUACUCGGGAGGCGGAGGCAGGAGAAUCACUUGAACCCUGGAGGCAGAGGUUGCAGUGUGUCAAGAUCAUGCCACCGCUCUCCAGCCUAGUAACAGAGUGAGAAUUCCGUCUCAAAAAAAAAAAAAAAAAAAAAGAGAGAGAGGAAGUAGCCUCUCCACUGCCCCUGCCAUGCCUAGAAGGUUCCCCAGCAUAAGAAGAGAUCAUUUGCAUCUCAAACAGCACAAUAGGCAGCCUGCUGGGUGGCCGGGGAAACUGUCCAAGACAGGACCGUACCAGAGGCCUUUUCUUGUCCUUUGAAUAUUUCAACUUCUGUGCAGGAAGGCUUGGGCUUUCCCAGGACAAAAUAAUUUUUAACAUUUUAUUUGUCUUAUUAAAUAUUAAAUAAAUAUAUUUGUAAAAGAUACAGACAUGAAUAACAAUGAUACAAAGAAUGACAAAGUGACCUUUUAAAUUUGAGACCAAUUCCAUCUAAAACAAUCCAAGCCACCUGUAGCUGUUGGUUUGAUUGCAAUAACCAAUACUGGACCAUGGUUACUUAACCUAUCAACCCAAGAAGAAAUCUUUCAUAACUGUGAUGAUCACGAAGGAAAUAUAAACAUGGCUAACCUGUGUCAUGAAAAAUGGAAGCUAAUUAAGGUAUCUGAAAUGAGUGAGGAGACUGAGGAUGUUCUGAAGGAAAUGCAGGAAGGAGAAUUAGCCUAAGUGCAUCCAUGUUGAACUUAUACAUAAAUCUUUCCUUGGUUGGCAAGAGUCCAGAAUAUGAUAUCACAGUGUGUGAAGGAGGCUGAGAGGAAACAGACUGUCCCAUGCAUUGCUGGCAGCAGUGCAGAUGGCACAGUUCUGUGGAGCAGACCUGCAAUAUCUACCAGAACUAUACAUGCACAAACCCUUUGACCCAGAGAUCCCCCUUCUGGGAAUCUAUCUUAUAGAUUCACCUACACAAAGGUAAACUUGCUUAGGUAUAAGGUUAUUCAUUGUGGCAUUAUUUAUAAUAACAACGGAUCAGAAACAGCCCAACAACCCAGCAAUAGGAGACUGGCGAACACACAGCUCUGGUCGAUCCACCAAUGGAAUACUAUAGAGCUGUCAAAAUGAAAAAGGCAGGAGGAACAGCUUUACGUGGUGAUAGGGAAGGAUACCCAGUAUAUUUAGUUACGAUUUUAAAAGGAAGGAGCAAGAUGUAUAUAACAUGCUUUUUUUGUGUAAUAAAAGAGGAAAUAAAAGUAUGUUAUUUAUGUUUGCAUAAAGAAACGUUGGGAG
rnacentral:lncRNA from 1 species